AUAUUUGCUAUGAAGAAAAAGAGUAACUAAAAGAACUAUCAAAGCGAAUUAGGGAUAGUGAAAGCCUAAUAUAAGCUUUUAGUGAACGGAAUUUCUGAGCGUAUAGUAUAAAGAUGGGUAUCAUAUAGAUAUCAAGUAGGGUGGAACCGCGGAAGUAACCUUUCGUCCCUAUG
rnacentral:ncRNA from 1 species